UUAUCUAUGUUUUAAUAAGUUAAAAGUAAAUAUAUUAUACAAAUUUAUAAUAUUUAUUAUAUAUAAAUUUGAUAAA
rnacentral:tRNA from 1 species